AUUAAGUGAUGUUUGAUAAAAAGAUAUAAAAAUUGAUUGUGCAACAUAAUGUAAUUAUAUUACACUCAUCCAAUAUAAUGUAGCUAAUUUACGGAAUUGUUAAUAGUGAUGAUGUGCUUUAAUGCUAGACUCUAGAUAUACAAUAUUAAUGAUUACCUAUGAAUAUGCAGGAAAGAUGUUUUGUUACAGGGUCAAACCUACAUAUUUUUUGUGCUUCAAUAUCAACAAAAGAAAGCUUUUGUGAAUGAUGAUUCCAUAAAGGGCCUUCACUAUGUUGAAACCUGCCAACUAUUGG